UGUCCUUUAUAUAAGAUUUUUUUUGUUGUAUUUUUUUUGACUGACCACUGCCUAUUCCUCACUAUGUACACUUGGGGAGAACGGUAGAUAAUUUGGAUGCAAAUUUAUUGAAUGUGUUGUUUGUUCUAUUAGUUCUAUUUCUAUGUAUCAGUCAGCCAUGCUUUUCAGUCCUAGUAAUUUUUGUUCUUUGCAUUUUACACCUUUUUAUUAACCUCGCGAUAGUUCACACACAGCUUCAAACCAGUCGGCACACUUCCUGGCCGGUAGAUAACGAACAAAGUAGUAAAGGAUUAGAAAGGAGGGUUUAGUUGUUCUUAAUGUUUGGUUCUUUAGUCCGUAAACUGUGAUUGACUAGACACUCCAGUACAGUAAGUGGCGGCAUUCAACGAUAACGUUUGUUUGCGGACCGCCAUAAUAUUAUAGAAGAAGAAGUAGAAACCUAACAAUGCAGUGCAACAAUGUGACAACAAUCCCCAAAGGGCUACUGCAGCUUCGAGACAGUUUGAGUAGCAUGAUGGACAGCCUUUACAAAGACCCCAAGGUGGCAGCGCUGAUGAACACAUCAAUGGGGCAGUACCUCAAUGGCCACCCAUUCUUAGCCCUGGCUGUGUUGGUAUUUGGCUCCAUGGCCACUGUACCCAUUGGGAUUUUCCUGACCUUUGCCACUGUUACAUUCAUUGGUGCCACUGUGGGUUUCGUUUUAUUGGAGGUGUUUCUGCUAUCCCUAGGAGGGGUCAGUCUGCUGUGUGUGCUCUCUGCUCUGGCCAUCCUCUCCAUCCUGGUCUCCUUGGUCCUUGGUGCCUGUUACAUUACCUCUUACAAUGUGCUCAACUUCUACUACAGCCAGCGUGUCAGUAGGUACCGAGUCACUAGAUUGGAGCCUGCGACAAAUAUAACAGUCAUGGAACAAGAUGGGUGUGUUCAACUUGGUUGAUGAACAAAAACUCAUUUCUAGAUAUACAGUUGAAGUCGGAAGUUUACAUACACUUAGAGAAGAAGAUGAAGAAGCCUAUGGGAAGCCGAAGGUAUAAGGAGCUGCAGCGUCAGUGAUGGAGAUGGCCUUCUACAGACACAAUCGUAUACUGAUCACUGCACUACAGUCCUUUCACUGGCAGAUAGGGGUUCCUCUAGACUCAAGAACUAGAUAGAGUAAAACCUCAGGUUGACUUUUCAUUAAAGGCCCAAUGCAGCUGUUUUUAUCUCAAUAUCAAAUCAUUUCUGGCUAAUAAUUAAGUACCUUACUGUGAUUUGUUUUAAAUGAAAACAAACAAAAAUUGCUUCUUAGCAAAGAGCAUGUUCUCAAGCAAUAAUUGUUUAGGUCUAAGUGGAGAGGGAAAAACUGAAACAUAUCUGUUAUUGUCAGAGACAUUUGGAACUCUCUUUCUUAUUAGUCUAUAAACUCAUUUACCGCCAGGUGAUGUUAACAGGCAGGCCACAUUUUCAGCCCACCAAAGCAGGCUGAAAUUUCAGGUGGUCUUUUCAAACAGCUCUUGCACUGAAAGGGCAUCAUUUUCACAAUUGCACAGUAUUAUUCCAACAUCAUCGUCUGGAAAUAUUUAUAAAACAGAAAAAUCUUUGACUGGGCCUUAAACUAGAAAAGUAUCCAUUAUCCAAACAGCCCAAUGGAAUCAUCACCAUUGAUACAAGUAUUAAUAUUUCUUUAUAUGAUUCUGGAGGUUGUAUAAUUUCACCUGACUGAAUGUAGGCACAUUGAUUGUUGAUUUAUUUUAUUGCAUUAUAGCAUUUGUACUAAUAUCUCUAUUUUCUUGAUCUUUCUAAGGGUUAAGAGUACAAAGAUGUAUAUUUGAUACAUAAACAUAGUUUAAAUUCAAGCUGCUAUCGGUUGCUAGUCUGAUUGUCAGAUGUUACAUGCAAUGAAUGCACCUUGGUUUUUAUUGUCCAUUUGCAAUGGGGAGAGGUUUAAGAACCUGUAAUGGUAGAAAUGAUUUGUUAAACAAAGCCCAUUUAGAACAUGGCAGAUGACCAGGUAGCACUGCAAAUAAUAUACCGGUUACUGCUACAUUGUAUUUGACAAUCUGUGUAUUCUGGAAACAAUGUGUGCAGUAUGCUAUAAUCCAUAUUGUACAUUUGCCAAAGAUUUUAUUAAAUGUGUUCCUCUAGUUUUGAUCCACAUAGGAUUAAUACAGGUCAGUCUUUUAAGUUUCAAAUCUGUGGUCCAUUUGAAAAGUGGGAGCUAGUUUCUGUUACUAAGAUCAUGUCAGUUUGUGUGAACCAGAAAUGUAAAGUAUGCACUAAUAGAGAUAGUGACUGAUUUGUAUCAAAAAGUGUUUUUAUAUGUAUUCAAUUUAAUGUACCUUUUCUCUGAAGAUUAGUGGUGAGAUGUUACUUUGAUGGAAUGUUACAAGUAAAUCACUUCAACUGCACUAAAUUGAUUUGCUCUAGAAAGCCAGUGUCUCAAUAUUGUAAGACAUUUUUCUAAUGUACAAACGUCAUUUGUAAUGAUUGACCCAGAUUUGUAGUUCUGGCCUUGAGCAGUUAAAUGUUCUGUAUUGUCAUGUUUAAUGUGGACCCCAGGAAUAGUAGCUGCUGCUUUCACAACAGUUAAUGGGGAUUCUAAUAAAAUAAUACAAGUAAUUCUAAGUA